GCACCCGUAGCUCAAUUGGAUAGAGCGCCUGACUACGAAUCAGGAGGUUAGGGGUUCGACUCCCUUCGAGUGUGCCA
rnacentral:tRNA from 1 species